CAGUUUACGUUCCCGGCCCGCUCGGUCUCUUCCCCUGCAGCGAUGGGAUGGGGAUGGGAGACUCUCUGGAGAAGCAGUCUGGUGGCGCACCCAGAAUGUCCCACGCCCCGCCCGGUCCAGCAGCCGGGCCGAGAGGGUCUCCUGCCUGGCUCGCCAAUUGACGUGCGGAACAAAGUCUACCACACGGUGAAGGGUUAUGAACCAGGGGAGGCCUGGCGCCUGGAGGAUGACUGCACACAUCCCCCCUGCGACCCCCAGCUCGGCACGGCCGUGCAGGACGCUCCCUUCAGCUGCUUCCGCACCUGCUCCUUCUACACGAGGAAGAGCCCGUCUGUGGAUAAGCAACCGCAUGGGUGCCCUCAGCUACGCCCCGCACCCCGCUGAGAGCGAGGCCGAGCGCGUCAAAGCCAAGCUCGGGCGGCAGUUUAGGCACCUGAUCCGGGGAUACACGUGGCUUUCCUCCUGCUGCGUGACUGGCCUCGGCCUUGUAAUGAGGGCUCCGGUGUCCCGCUGCUGAAAAGAGCUCGGUGUUGGUUAAAAAUGGUAACUAGACUACUCCUCUGACUUUAAUGGUGGUAUAUAUCUGAAAGUUACAGAAUUUGGUUGAUAAUUCGAGUGCUUUAUUGAAUGUACUUUGUGUACACAGUAUAAAAAUACAUAUUUCUCGUCUAAGAAUUGGAAUAUUCUUCUGAAUGUAUGAAAGGUAACUUUGUGAAACGGAAAGGAUUUGACUGAUAAUUCGAGGACAUGUUUGAAUUUACUGUGUGUACACAAUACAACAUACAGAAUUUGUGC